GAUGAACGCUGGCGGUAUGCUUAGCACAUGCAAGUCGAACGGUGUCUUCGGACAUAGUGGCGGACGGGUGAGUAACGCGUGAGAAUCUGCCUUCAGGAUGGGGACAACAGCUGGAAACGGCUGCUAAAACCCGAUGUGCCGAGAGGUGAAAUAUUUAUAGCCUGAAGAUGAGCUCGCGUCAGAUUAGCUAGUUGGUGAGGUAAAGGCUCACCAAGGCGACGAUCUGUGGCUGGUCUGAGAGGAUGAUCAGCCACACUGGGACUGAGACACGGCCCAGACUCCUACGGGAGGCAGCAGUGGGGAAUUUUCCGCAAUGGGCGAAAGCCUGACGGAGCAAUACCGCGUGAGGGAGGAAGGCUCUUGGGUUGUAAACCUCUUUUGAUCGGGAAGAAGACAGUGACGGUACCGAUCGAAUCAGCAUCGGCUAACUCCGUGCCAGCAGCCGCGGUAAUACGGAGGAUGCAAGCGUUAUCCGGAUUUAUUGGGCGUAAAGCGUCCGCAGGUGGUUGAGCAAGUCUGCUGUCAAAGCGCGGAGCUUAACUCCGUAAAGGCAGUGGAAACUGUUUAACUUGAGUACGGUAGGGGUAGCGGGAAUUCCCAGUGUAGCGGUGAAAUGCGUAGAUAUUGGGAAGAACACCAGCGGCGAAAGCGCGCUACUGGGCCUGUACUGACACUGAGGGACGAAAGCUAGGGGAGCGAAAGGGAUUAGAUACCCCUGUAGUCCUAGCUGUAAACGAUGGGUACUAGGUGUUGGCCGUAUCGACCCGGUCAGUGCCGUAGCUAACGCGUUAAGUACCCCGCCUGGGGAGUACGCACGCAAGUGUGAAACUCAAAGGAAUUGACGGGGGCCCGCACAAGCGGUGGAGUAUGUGGUUUAAUUCGAUGCAACGCGAAGAACCUUACCAGGGCUUGACAUGUCGCGAAUCCUCGGGAAACUGAGGAGUGCCUUCGGGAGCGCGAACACAGGUGGUGCAUGGCUGCCGUCAGCUCGUGUCGUGAGAUGUUGGGUUAAGUCCCGCAACGAGCGCAACCCACGUCUUUAGUUGCCAUCAUUCAGUUGGGCACUCUGGAGAGACUGCCGGUGACAAACCGGAGGAAGGUGUGGAUGACGUCAAGUCAGCAUGCCCCUUACGUCCUGGGCUACACACGUACUACAAUGCUGUGGACAGAGGGUUGCCAACUCGCGAGAGUGAGCUAAUCCCGUAAACCACGGCUCAGUUCAGAUUGCAGGCUGCAACUCGCCUGCAUGAAGGCGGAAUCGCUAGUAAUCGCAGGUCAGCAUACUGCGGUGAAUACGUUCCCGGGCCUUGUACACACCGCCCGUCACACCAUGGGAGUUGGCCACGCCCGAAGUCGUUACUCCAACCUUUUCGGAGGAGGAGGAUGCCGAAGGCAGGGCUGAUGACUGGGGUGAAGUCGUAACAAGGUAGCCGUACCGGAAGGUGUGGCUGGAUCACCU
rnacentral:rRNA from 1 species